rnacentral:tRNA from 1 species
GGAGAUUUAGCUCAGCGGUGUAAGCGCCUGCCUUGCAAGCAGGCAGUUGUGAGUUUAAUCCCUG